rnacentral:rRNA from 1 species
UACAGAGGUCCCAAGCGUUGUUCGGAUUCACUGGGCGUAAAGGGUGCGUAGGUGGCCAGGUAAGUUUGGUGUGAAAGCUCGGAGCUUAACUCCGAAAAGUCAUUGAAUACUAUCUGGCUGGAGGGUCGGAGGGGAGAUUGGAAUUCCUGGUGUAGCGGUGGAAUGCGCAGAUAUCAGGAGGAACACCAAUGGCGAAGGCAGAUCUCUGGGCCGUAACUGACGCUGAGGAGCGAAAGCGUGGGGAGCGAACAGG